rnacentral:rRNA from 1 species
CAAUAGCGUAUAUUAAAGUUGUUGCGGUUAAAAAGCUCGUAGUUGGAUUUCUGCUGAGAACGACCGGUCCGCCCUUUGGGUGUGUAUCUGGCUCUUUCUUGGCAUCUUCUUGGUGAACGUUGCUGCACUUGACUGUGUGGAGCGCUACCCAGGACUUUUACUUUGAGGAAAUUAGAGUGUUUCAAGCAGGCAUACGCCUUGAAUACAUUAGCAUGGAAUAAUAAGAUAGGACCUCGGUUCUAUUUUGUUGGUUUCUAGAGCUGAGGUAAUGAUUAAUAGGGAUAGUUGGGGGCAUUCGUAUUUAACUGUCAGAGGUGAAAUUCUUGGAUUUGUGAAAGACGGACUACUGCGAAAGCAUUUGCCAAGGAUGUUUUCAUUGA